GCAAGGCUGAAACUCAAAGGAAUUGACGGGGGCCCGCACAAGCGGUGGAGCAUGUGGUUCAAUUCGACGCAACGCGAAGAACCUUACCUGGGCUCGAAGCGCAGUGGACUGCGGUAGAAAUAUCGCUUUCUCGCAAGAGACUGCUGCGUAGGUGCUGCAUGGCUGUCGUCAGCUCGUGUCGUGAGAUGUUGGGUUAAGUCCCGCAACGAGCGCAACCCUUAUUGCCAGUUGCCAUCAUUCAGUUGGGCACUCUGGCGAAACCGCCCCGGAUAACGGGGAGGAAGGUGGGGAUGACGUCAAGUCCUCAUGGCCUUUAUGUCCAGGGCUACACACGUGCUACAAUGGUCGGUACAAACCGUCGCAAACCCGUGAGGGGGAGCUAAUCGGAAAAAGCCGACCUCAGUUCGGAUUGUAGUCUGCAACUCGACUACAUGAAGCUGGAAUCGCUAGUAAUCGCAGAUCAGAACGCUGCGGUGAAUACGUUCCCGGGCCUUGUACACACCGCCCGUCACAUCACGAAAGUGGGUUGUACUAGAAGCCGGUGCGCUAACCCGCAAGGGGAGUAGCCGUCCAAGGUAUAACUCAUGAUUGGGGUGAAGU
rnacentral:rRNA from 1 species